UGAAUACGAGAUGCUACGGCGUCGAAGCAGUCUAUGUCAUACUUCCAAGAAAAGCUCGCACUGUCAUAAACAAAUAAUGCCUGUACCAUAACCGACACAGGUGGGUAGGUAGAGUAUACUAAGGGGCGCGAGAUAACUCUCUCUAAGGAACUCGGCAAAAUGACUCCGUAACUUCGGGAGAAGGAGUGCCUUAUUUAUAAGGUUGCAAUAACAAGAUCCAAGCAACUUUUUAUCAAAAACACAGGUCUCCGCUAAGUCGUAAGACGAUGUAUGGGGGCUGACGCCUGCCCAGUGCCAGAAGGUUAAAGAAGUUGGUUAGCAUUCGCGAAGCUGAUAACUGAAGCCCUGGUGAACGGCGGCCGUAACGAUAACGGUCCUAAGGUAGCGAAAUUCCUUGUCGGGUAAGUUCCGACCCGCACGAAAGGCGUAAUGAUUUGGAUACUGUCUCGGAGAGGGGCUCGGUGAAAUAGACUUGUCUGUGAAGAUGCGGACUACCUGCACCAGGACAGAAAGACCCUAUGAAGCUUUACUGUAACUUGAGAUUGAAAUUGGACUUGACUUGCGCAGUAUAGGUGGGAGGCGUUGAUAAUAUUCUUGCGGGAUUAUUUGAGCCAUCAGUGAGAUACCACUCUUGUAAUGUUAGAUUUCUAACUUUGUAUCAUUAUCUGGUCAAAGGACAGUUUCAGGCGGGCAGUUUGACUGGGGCGGUCGCCUCCUAAACGGUAACGGAGGCGCACAAAGGUUUCCUCUGAACGGGUAGAAAUCGUAUCUAGAGUGUAAAGGCAUAAGGAAGCUUGACUGUGAGACCUACAAGUCGAGCAGGGACGAAAGUCGGUCUUAGUGAUCUGACGGUGCUGAGUGGAAAGGCCGUCACUCAACGGAUAAAAGUUACUCUAAGGAUAACAGGCUGAUCUCCCCCAAGAGUUCACAUCGACGGGGAGGUUUGGCACCUCGAUGUCGGCUCAUCGCAUCCUGGGGCGGUAGUACGUCCCAAGGGUUGGGCUGUUCGCCCAUGAAAGCGGUACGCGAGCUGGGUUCAGAACGUCGUGAGACAGUUCGGUCCAUAUCCGGUGUAGGCGUUAGAAUAUUGAGAGGAGCCUUCUUUAGUACGAGAGGACCGAGAAGGACAUACCUCUGGUGUACCAGUUAUCGUGCCAACGGUAAACGCUGGGUAGCUAUGUAUGGAGUGGAUAACCGCUGAAAGCAUCUAAGUGGGAAGCCCACCUCAAGAUAAGUAUUCCC
rnacentral:rRNA from 1 species